rnacentral:rRNA from 1 species
GGGGGCCCGCACAAGCGGUGGAGCAUGUGGUUUAAUCGAUGAUACGCGAGGACCUUACCUGGGCUCAAAUGUAUGUUGACGUAUUCUGAAAGGGAUACUUCUUCGGACAAUAUACAAGGUGCUGCAUGGUUGUCGUCAGCUCGUGCCGUGAGGUGUCGGGUUAAGUCCCAUAACGAGCGCAACCCCUAUCAUUAGUUGCCAUCAGGUCAGGCUGGGGACUCUAAAGGAACUGCCUACGCAAGUAGUGAGGAAGGCGGGGAUGACGUCAAAUCAGCACGGCCCUUACGUCCAGGGCUACACACGUGCUACAAUGGCCGAUACAGAGGGCAGCUACCUGGUGACAGGAUGCAAAUCUCCAAAGUCGGUCUCAGUUCGGAUCGGAGUCUGCAACCCGACUCCGUGAAGUUGGAUUCGCUAGUAAUCGCGCAUCAGCCAUGGCGCGGUGAAUACGUUCCCGGGCCUU